rnacentral:rRNA from 1 species
UACGGAGGGUGCGAGCGUUGUCCGGAAUCAUUGGGCGUAAAGGGCGCGUUAGGUGGCCCCUCAAGCGUGCGGUGAAAGUCAGGGGCUCAACCCCUGAUCGGCCGUGCGAACUGGGGAGCUUGAGCACUGUAGAGGCAGGCGGAAUUCCGGGUGUAGCGGUGAAAUGCGCAGAUAUCAGGAGGAACACCGGUGGCGAAGGCGGGUCUCUGGGCCGGAUAUUGACGCUGAGGAGCGAAAGCGUGGGGAGCGAACAGG